CCAAUAGCGUAUAUUAAAGUUGUUGCAGUUAAAAAGCUCGUAGUUGAAUUUUGGAUUCUUCCAAUUGGUCCAUCUUUUAGAUGAGUACUGGUUGUGUGGGGUCUAUCUACCUGGUGAUACGUAAUGUCCUUUAUUGGGUGUUGCGGGUAGUCAGGACUUUUACCUUGAAAAAAUUAGAGUGUUUAAAGCAGGCUUAUGCCGGAAUACAUUAGCAUGGAAUAAUAGAAUAGGACGAAGUUGUUUUAUUUUGUUGGUUUCUAGGACAACCGUAAUGAUUAAUAGGGAUAGUUGGGGGCAUUAGUAUUCAAUUGUCAGAGGUGAAAUUCUUGGAUUUAUUGAAGACUAACUACUGCGAAAGCAUUUGCCAAGGAUGUUUUCACUAAUCAAGAACGAAAGUUAGGGGAUCGAAGACGAUCAGAUACCGUCGUAGUCUUAACCAUAAACUAUGCCGACUAGGGAUCGGGCGAUGUUGUUUCCAUGACUCGCUCGGCACCUUAUG
rnacentral:rRNA from 1 species